rnacentral:rRNA from 1 species
GAUCAUGGCUCAGGAUGAACGCUAGCUACAGGCUUAACACAUGCAAGUCGAGGGGCAGCAUGGAGGUAGCUUGCUACCUUGAUGGCGACCGGCGCACGGGUGAGUAACGCGUAUCCAACCUUCCCCCUAGUAGGGCAUAGCCCGGCGAAAGUCGGAUUAAUACCCUAUGUUUUCCGUUGAUGGCAUCUGACAUGGAACAAAGAUUUAUCGCUAGGGGAUGGGGAUGCGUCCGAUUAGGUAGUCGGCGGGGUAACGGCCCACCGAGCCUUCGAUCGGUAGGGGUUCUGAGAGGAAGGUCCCCCACAUUGGAACUGAGACACGGUCCAAACUCCUACGGGAGGCAGCAGUGAGGAAUAUUGGUCAAUGGGCGUGAGCCUGAACCAGCCAAAAGUAGCGUGCAGGAUGACGGCCCUAUGGGUUGUAAACUGCUUUUGCCGGGGAAUAAAGGUGGGGGACGUGUCCCUUUUUGUAUGUACCCGGAGAAUAAGGACCGGCUAAUUCCGUGCCAGCAGCAGC